GCUGGAGUGGUGAAAUUGGCAAACACGCAGCGUUCAGGGCGCUGUGCUCGCAAGAGCUUGAGGGUUCAACUCCCUCCUCCAGCA
rnacentral:tRNA from 1 species